UACGAAGGGGGCUAGCGUUGCUCGGAAUUACUGGGCGUAAGCGCGCGUAGGCGGCUUUGUAAGUUAGAGGUGAAAGUCCGGGGCUCAACCUCGGAUCGGCCGUGGCGACUCGUGGGCUGGAGCACUGUAGAGGCGGGUGGAAUUCCGGGUGUAGCGGUGGAAUGCGUAGAGAUCCGGAAGAACACCAGUGGCGAAGGCGGCCCGCUGGGCAGUGGCUGACGCUGAGGCGCGACAGCGUGGGGAGCAAACAGG
rnacentral:rRNA from 1 species